rnacentral:lncRNA from 1 species
CUUUUCCCUGUGGGGUUGAGUUCGCUCGGUGUCUCACUCCUGCUCGCGGGGGGGGGCCGGGGCCGGGGCGCGGGCGACAGAGACUUUCUCACUUCUCAAAGAUGUUCGCGGGAAGCGUAACUGCAGGGCGGCGGGCGGCUGCGCUCACACAAGCAUUGGGGCGGGCGCUGUGGCCGGGUGUUGGGGGAUUGGGCCGGAGGCCCGAGGACCAUGUGCAUGUUUGUCGGGAGCCUGAAGUCCCUGCAGGUCAGGGCCCUGCCCCAGGCUAGCCGCUGGGAGUGAGCAGCCCCGAGAGAAGCGGGUGGCAGGCCCGCUCAGGGCUUUGGGAACCGGAGCAGCAUCCUUCCUCGAGGCUGCAGAUUACCAAGGUGCCAGCAUGUGAUCACCAACAGCUGAGCAUGGUCUGCUCAGAAGGUAAGCAAGCUCUGUUUUGUGGAGGGGCUGGUGGUUUCGGGGGCCUAUUGGCAGUGCCACCUGGCUGAUCUGAUACCUUGUACUGCGUAGCCCUUGACCUUUAUUGUCAGAAUGUGGUUCAUGGUGUCUGGAUCAGACUGCACAGUGAGCCCAGGAAUUCUUUUUUAUGUCAUAGAGCCCUGAGCAAUCUGCUUCUGUGUUCAGAGAUGCUCUGAAAAUUGAUGGCCUUAGCUUUGUAAUGUUUAAUGUGACUAAAUGGGUUAAAAAACAUCCGCAGUGAACCGAGUUCUUUAGGGACUCGUGAUAGGAUGGCUGUAAUUUGUAGUGGUGGCUGGCAGCACAGAACAAUCUGUCCUUGGCACCUGCUGUCUGUCGACAGGUGCCUCGUGUGCAUCCCACCAGGUGUUGAGCGCUGAAGAAUGAUCAGAGCAGAGUUUUAAAGCUGCCAGCGGUGGCCCAGAGACCUCAGCCCAAGAAGAGGCUGUGCUGCAGCAGAGGCAGAAUUCGAAGGCCCAAGGACCAGUCCUGGCCAUCCAUCCACGUGGACUCUGAAAACCGGGCCUUGACAGUUGGUGUAGAAAUGAUGCUCACCUCGUGCUGAGGGGACAUAAUUGCCACUGAGGGAACCAAGAAAUGGACUUGUCAACCUUUCCCUGGGACAGGCACUUUCGGUGUUAGUAGAUUCAUGAGUUUUUCAUCAUCGUCUCUUAACCAAAAGGAGCUUUUGCAUUUUAAAAUACUGUAAAUUUGUUAUAUUUGGUGUUUUAAACUGGAAAUGUCACAAAAUGUCCAUGCAGUUACAGUAAACACAAUGAAAGGAU